CCUCCACGAAGCCCAUGUCAAUGAGGGCCUUGCGGCAUGAGCCAGUGGAGCACACAAAGUGGUCAGGGCACCAUGUCUUGCCCAGCGCUGACACGAAGGGACCCCUACCAGCAGACCGGAGAUUCAGUAUCAUGUGUUCACCUGGUCUCAUUCACAGACUACCUGAAGGUGCCUCGCUGCCCCCCAUCAUGAUGUGGACAGACAGGUUGUGGGAUCGAGUGUCUGCGCGGUUGCACCAAAUAGGGAGGGGCGCAGCGCGAUUCUGGGACGGGUGGACGAAAAGGACACGCUGCUAAUGAAUGCAGUGGUGGAACGGAGUCAUGACAGCAACACCAUCAAACAGCACCAGUAAGAGAAAUAAUGGCAGCACUAUUAACAACAACAGCCCCAGUACUAGUAAAACAACAACAACAACAACAACAACAACAGAGGCC